GAACAUGCUUCUCCGUCCUCCGAGGGUUACAGUCCAAGCUCCUGGUUGGCGCUUCCUGUCUCUCUACUCUGGUAAUCAGACACGCCACUCGCUGCCUCUCCAGCAGAGGUCUGACCUGCUGUUUGAAACAUCCUGCCCAAAGCAGCUUACUGAUGAAUUCUCCCACAGGAUUCCCACAGAGAAAGAAAGCUCUGCCAGGUCAGCAGCGCAGAGGGGAGUCAGCUUGCUUGGAUCAUCAGGGGAAACUGUGAAUCAAUGCUGUAUGUAACACAGAGACAAAAGGCGCUUGUGGAUGCCCCUUUAGAAAGUGAGUCAGAAGAGGGAAAUGCCCUAGUGAGCAGAUCACCAACUUGAGCAAUUGGCGGUUUCACCCUGUGGCUCUUCUGAAGACAGCAGGAACACGCACCAGAUGGCAGGGCCCUGACCCGACUCUCCUUCCUCAUUGAGGGUGAG
rnacentral:lncRNA from 1 species